GCGGGGGUGGCAGAGCUAGGUCAAACAAUGAACUAGGAAUCCCGUCCCGAAGGGGUUCGUGGGUUCAAAUCCCACCCCCCGCACCA
rnacentral:tRNA from 1 species